rnacentral:lncRNA from 1 species
AGACACAGAACCAUGAAACUGGUAUUGGUUGGUAGUACUGGUGCCAGUUUCACUUCAUAGAACGAUUCCGGCCAUUCGUACUUCCUGUCCUAAGACCAAGACAACAGUGCCUCAGGAGUAGCUAACAUUCCCACAGCCCUUGCUUAAAAUCCCUCCUUGUUUGUAAAGUGAAGUUAGCCACUCUCAGGAAGUUACUUCAGCCCAAAUCACCGACCUCCAGACAUGCAACCAGCUUCUGAGGACUGAAGACCUGUACCUCAGGAACCUCUCAGCCACCAGCCACGCUAUAAAAAUAACUUUAAAAAGGAACGAACAAUAGGUCUGCAGCAGAAGCCAUGAGCUACAGCAAAAACAGAUCCUGACCCCUGAGUCCAAAGAAUUAACCUAACGAGCAUCACGUACCUCACACCAUGACCACACCGCUCACAAGUGACGAUGGCCUCAUAGAUAAUGAUGAUGGAAGAGAGAAAAUUGAAUGUCUCUCACAAGGUGGCCAUGGCAACCGAGAGCAGAAUAAUAUCAAUAAUAAGCUCACUGCAUAAUAAGGUUGUCAGUCCUACAAAUCAAAGUCUGCAGCUAAAUCAGGUAUACCACCCCAGCUAGUUACCAGUAGCAGAUACGGUUUCAUGAAGGACCGGCUAACUAGCCAUAUUGAACUGUGGAGUGAGCCUGUGGGUGAGCUCCCCUCCCGCUAGCCUCCUCCUCACUCUCCCCUCUGUGUGCCCUGCUGCAUCCUGCCUAGAUGCAAGAGCAGCUCACCCGCCGCCGGAGGCUUCCACCUUGGCUCCCAGGGGGACAUCCUGCAAAAUGAAUCAGCAGCCAUCCUGAGCAGGCUGAUUAAAAUGAAAAUGGCAAGGCACAUGUCUGGGCGGAACUGGAGCUCGGCUUUGUUGCCUGUCUGACAAGCACGCUCAAUAUAGCUCUUGCUAAUAAUGGCUUACUGCCUUUCGGUUUUUAAAAAGGUAUCACCCUUUCCUCUUAACCGACUGCUACUCGCGUGUGUGUGUGUGUGUGUGCACGCGCGCGCGCGCGAGCGCGCGUGUGCUUCACAUGUGUGUGCCACGGGGGUUGUGGGGGGACGGAUUGCUCGAUUCUAAUUUUCCACUGCUCACAUGCAGACAGCCCGCCUGACAACGCUGUUAUUUUAAAACUGAACUUAGUUGUCUUUCUUCUGAGGAAAGUGAUGGUUAAGUCUUGGAUGUGAUGUGGAGGUUGACAAAAACAGGGAUUUCUAGCCCAAGCCUUAGCCACAGAGCUGGGGGGAGGGGGUCAUCUAAUGCUUGCCUCUUUGGCUCACAGCCCAAAGCUAGAAGCAGCCCAGGUGAAGCCUGCUCCUGCUUGAAGCUUUUCUACCAGACUGUCUCCAUUCUCCGGAUCUCAUGCAGCAUACAGUCUGAACAUGGGAAAAUAGAAGCCACUGAAUGCUGCAGUUGGACAAAGUUUAUUGCAAAUAAAUCUCAUUUCUUUUCAAAAAUUCCCAGGUGUAACUUGAAAAUCCCUUUUUUAUAAACCAUAUUUUUAAAUAUCU